AGUGAACGCUGGCGGCAGGCCUAAUACAUGCAAGUCGAACGACCGCACAGUAAGCGUUUGCCUUUACGGGUGGCGGCUGGCGGAUGGGUGAGGCAUACAUAGCCUUCUUCUUUUUCGUGGGGGAUUACGUAGGGCCAGUUCUGCUACCACAGCAUAUGUUGUACGGGUGAGUUCAGGAGUUCUUCGCAGCUUGCGUGUCUGUUUGAGAUGGUGCCGCAUUAGCUAGUUGGCAGGGUAAGGGCACACCAAGGCGACGAUGCGUAGCUGAUCUGAGAGGAUGAUCGGCCACACUGGAACUGAGACACGGUCCAGACUCCUACGGGAGGCAGCAGUAGGGAAUAUUCCGCAAUGGGCGAAAGCCUGACGCAGCAACGCCGCGUGAGUGAUGAAGGUCUUCGGAUCGUAAAACUCUGUUAUUAGGGAAGAACAGCUGUGUAAGUAACUAUGGACGUCUUGACGGUACCCAAACAGAAAGCACCGGCUAACUACGUG
rnacentral:rRNA from 1 species